rnacentral:rRNA from 1 species
UACGUAGGUGACCAGCGUUGUCCGGAUUUACUGGGCGUAAAGAGCGCGCAGGCGGUCGUUCAAGUCGAGUGUGAAAGCCCACGGCUCAACCGUGGAGGGUCAUUGGAAACUGGGGGACUUGAGUACAGAAGAGAAGAGUGGAAUUCCACGUGUAGCGGUGAAAUGCGUAGAGAUGUGGAGGAACACCAGUGGCGAAGGCGACUCUUUGGUCUGUAACUGACGCUGAGGCGCGAAAGCGUGGGGAGCAAACAGG